UACAGAGACUGCAAGCGUUGUUCGGAUUCAUUGGGCGUAAAGGGUCCGUAGGCGGUCGGUUAAGUCGGAUGUGAAUUCUCGUGGCCUAACCACGAGCGGUCAUUCGAAACUAACUGGCUAGAGGACUGGAGAGGAGACUGGAAUUGUCGGUGUAGCGGUGAAAUGCGUAGAGAUCGACAAGAACACCGGUGGCGAAGGCGGGUCUCUGGGCCGAUACUGACGCUGAGGAGCGAAAGCGUGGGGAGCGAACAGG
rnacentral:rRNA from 1 species